rnacentral:rRNA from 1 species
CACGUAGGGGGCAAGCGUUGUCCGGAUUUAUUGGGCGUAAAGAGCUCGUAUGCGGCUCAGUUAGUCGGGUGUGAAACCCCCGGGCUCAACCCGGGGACGCCACCCGAUACUGCUGUGGCUAGAGUCCGGUAGGGGAGCGUGGAAUUCCUGGUGUAGCGGUGAAAUGCGCAGAUAUCAGGAGGAACACCAGCGGCGAAGGCGGCGCUCUGGGCCGGAACUGACGCUGAGGAGCGAAAGCGUGGGGAGCGAACAGG